CGGUGAAAAUGAAGAAGGUUAGUGAGUUUGGGGGUUAAAAAGCAAGUCUAUAGGGUCGGGUCGGUUUAGGCGGGUCGGGUUGGGUCGGACUGGGGGUAAAAAUUCAUUUGGGUCACUUAUAUUUAAUGUCCAAUCGCUAAAUGACAUGUGGAAUUAGAAAUAAUAUAAAAAUUAAAAAAACAGCCGUUAGAUUCCAGGGGUACAAAUAGGCCAAAAAGAAAACGGUGGGGGCAUUUUCUUCGCCAAAGGUAAACGGAGGGCAUUUUUGUUCCAAAGUCGAUAGGAUGAGGGCAUUUUU
rnacentral:lncRNA from 1 species